rnacentral:rRNA from 1 species
UACGUAGGGGCCUAGCGUUGUCCGGAUUUAUUGGGCGUAAAGAGCUCGUAGGCGGUUCGGUAAGUCAGGUGUGAAAUCUCCACGCUCAACGUGGAGGCGCCACCUGAAACUGCCGUGACUCGAGUCCGGUAGGGGAGUGUGGAAUUCCCGGUGUAGCGGUGAAAUGCGUAGAUAUCUGCAGGAACACCCGUGGCGAAAGCGGCGCGCUGGACCACUACUGACGCUGAGGAACGAAAGCUAGGGGAGCAAACAGG